GACGAACGCUGGCGGCGUGCUUAACACAUGCAAGUCGAACGGAAAGGCCCUGCUUUUGUGGGGUGCUCGAGUGGCGAACGGGUGAGUAACACGUGAGUAACCUGCCCUUGACUUUGGGAUAACUUCAGGAAACUGGGGCUAAUACCGGAUAGGAGCUCCUGCUGCAUGGUGGGGGUUGGAAAGUUUCGGCGGUUGGGGAUGGACUCGCGGCUUAUCAGCUUGUUGGUGGGGUAGUGGCUUACCAAGGCUUUGACGGGUAGCCGGCCUGAGAGGGUGACCGGCCACAUUGGGACUGAGAUACGCACCAGACUCGUACGGGAGGCAGCAGUGGGGAAUAUGGCACAAUGGGCGGAAGCCUGAGGCAGCAACGCCGCGUGCGGGAUGACGGCCUUCGGGUUGAAAACCGCUUUCGCCUGUGACGAAGCGUGAGUGACGGUAAUGGGUAAAGAAGCACCGGCUAACUACGUG
rnacentral:rRNA from 1 species